AUUGAACGCUGGCGGCAGGCCUAACACAUGCAAGUCGAGCGGAUGAGAAGAGCUUGCUCUUCGAGUUAGCGGCGGACGGGUGAGUAAUGCCUAGGAAUCUGCCUGGUAGUGGGGGACAACGUUUCGAAAGGAACGCUAAUACCGCAUACGUCCUACGGGAGAAAGCAGGGGACCUUCGGGCCUUGCGCUAUCAGAUGAGCCUAGGUCGGAUUAGCUAGUUGGUGAGGUAAUGGCUCACCAAGGCGACGAUCCGUAACUGGUCUGAGAGGAUGAUCAGUCACACUGGAACUGAGACACGGUCCAGACUCCUACGGGAGGCAGCAGUGGGGAAUAUUGGACAAUGGGCGAAAGCCUGAUCCAGCCAUGCCGCGUGUGUGAAGAAGGUCUUCGGAUUGUAAAGCACUUUAAGUUGGGAGGAAGGGCAGUAAGCGAAUACCUUGCUGUUUUGACGUUACCAACAGAAUAAGCACCGGCUAACUCUGUGCCAGCAGCCGCAGUAAUAC
rnacentral:rRNA from 1 species